CCUACGGGUGGCAGCAGUGAGGAAUAUUGGUCAAUGGGCGCGAGCCUGAACCAGCCAAGUCGCGUGAGGGAAGACGGCCCUACGGGUUGUAAACCUCUUUUGCCGGGGAGCAACGGGCGCCACGUGUGGCGCCACUGAGAGUACCCGGAGAAAAAGCAUCGGAGAACUCCGUGCCAGCAGCCGCGGUAAUACGGAGGAUGCGAGCGUUAUCCGGAUUUAUUGGGUUUAAAGGUUGCGUAGGCGGAGCGUUAAGUCAGUGGUAAAAUUGAGGGGCUCAACCCCUUCCCGGCAUUGAAACUGGCGCUCUUGAGUGGAAGAGAAGUAUGCGGAAGGCGUGGUGUAGCGGUGAAAUGCAUAGAUAUCACGCAGAACCCCGAUUGCGAAGGCAGCAUGCCGGCUUCCUACUGACGCUGAAGCACGAAAGCGUGGGGAUCGAACAGGAUUAGAUACCCGGGUAGUC
rnacentral:rRNA from 1 species